GUGUCCGCAGGGGCGGGGGACCCUUUGGGCCGAGGUGAGGUGGCCUGAGGGAGCGGAAUAGAGCCGGCCCCGCAGCCAUCGCUGUGCGCGGAGAGCGGGCAGGUACUGCGCGGAGCCCGCAGCGGCCUCGCUCUCGCCAGGCAGGGCUGCGCGGACAGGUCUCGCCUCGUCUCGGUUUUGCGCUGGGUGCGGAGCUGCGAGCCGCAGCGAGCAAGGAGCCCUGGACCUACGCACAAACCCUGGGAAAUCUGAGCCCUUCUCCAGUGGAGCCACAGAAAAGCACUGCUGGAGCGGCGAGUUCUGAAUCAUGGUCUAGUCACAAGGAAUGCUGCUGCUGCUUCUAUAUCAGUCCGUGGAGGUGGUGGAGCUGAGACUUCCACUAAGCCUGCACAGCAGAUACCUGACCCCCUGAACCACCUCCUUCCUCUCAGUGAGCAAAAUGCAUGAGAACAAGCUCCUGCUUCCACGGCAGCAACGUCAGAUUCCAGAAAGGGCUGAGUUGCACUGGGUGUGUCAGCCAGCAAGUUGGGCUCAGCAUCUCUUCAACUUGGACCUGCAUCUGCCUGCAGAUGGGAAAUCUGAAGGAAGCUUAAGAGGAAGCAGUCAGUGUGACCCCUCUCUGGCUUUAUGUGACAACCAGCUCACACUUUUCAUUUUAGAAACCAACCACAUUGAUUUCUGAGCACUGUUACCCUCCUUGCCCUUAGAACUCCCACUGGAAAUUCUUCUCAGACACUCUCUGUUUGCUCUCAUGUCACUCAAGCCCCCAUGGGUACCUUCACCCCCAGGGUGUGCUCAAUUUCCUUUCCUGUACUUCUUGAAUCCAGCACUGACUUCAGAGCCCCAUUUCCACCAAUGGGCCAGCACUGGGAGCUGCCCCAGCAGGGGUGCAGUUUUCCAACAUCUUCAGUCAGCUGUGUGUUGUUUCCUUCCCUUCUUCCCAGUACCCAGCAAACUGGUGUGCUCUGGGCACAGUGUCACUAAGAGAAGUCUAUCUGUUGUCACUUU